GUCAUCAACGGGCGGGGAACAGUUAAGAGCUACCGUUUCCAGCCUGCCCGGCCAGGCGCGCACCGCCCCGCUCCUCCCACAAGAACUGCGCCCCGCCCCCGAGCCCGGGGCAUGCUGGGAUUGUAGUCCCGAAGCGCUUGAAACAACGGGCGGGAGCGGUGAAAAGACUACAGCUCCCAGCAUGUACAGCAAGCCCGGCGCAGCCCUGCUUCGCCCUUCAGGACUGCGCGCCGUCCCGUGUUCAUGCUGGCUGGAAUUGUAAUCCGGUCGCCCUGCAAUUAAAAAACGGGAAGCUAAUCAAAGAUGAUAAGUCCUAGUAUGCCAGGCUUAGCUUCCGCCCUCCAAUCCACACCUCCCCGAGUCCAGAGCAGUUCUGCCAUGCCAAGGGGAGCCUGGCUGUUCCCAAACCUCUCCUACCUGCCAAGUGACAGCGGGACCAGGGCGGCUGGUCUUAUCGUGUAAUUAUGUCACUACAUCUCUGUGAGAUGCCGGCUUCAUGCUUCGUCAUUGCCAGAAGUUUGAUUUCUCAUGGAGCAGCAGGGGACCUGGAGCUGCUCACAAAGCUGUCAUGGUUGCCAUAGUAACGCUCCUCUUCCUGGAAAGUUUUCCAGAUUAACUCGAAGUACCCCACGACUACACGCUAAAGAAACUAGAAGAUGCACAGCCUCAGCUCCGUGCAGGAGGGACGCACAAGAGCAGAAUCUCCGUGGGACAUCUUUCUAGAGCAUUAGUAUUACUGCAGGAUUUGGAAGAAACAAAUUUAAAUAAUUUCCAACGUAAGACACUGGAAAUUUAAAAGAAGCCUGGAAAAUCAUCUGCCUUUAAUAACUGUCAUUCAUCUGUGCCUAAGUCAGACUUUCUCCAAGAAAAAAAAAAAAAAGAAACUCUAAGGAGAACCUAUUUUUUAUUCUUCUAAGUAGUUAAAAUUAGAAAUUACAGCAAAUCAAUAGAAAGCUCUGCCCCACCAGUCUCCUAAAUCACAAUUUGGCUUUGGUGUGGUUUUAUUUGUAUUUUUUGGAGGGGUGUGUUGACAUGUUGGUAUAGAGAUUGGGGAGUUUUGAUCAGUUUUUGGAAGUUUUCAGCUAUUAGUUGGUGAUUUACUUUGUACCUCAUUUAAUUUUUCUGUCCGCUCUCCACUUAGAACUCAAUCACUCCAUAGGUCUCUAAGACUCUUCAGUUUCUUUAAGCUUUUUCACUCUUAUAUUCAGAAUGGGCAAUUUCUAUUGCUCUAUCUUCUGUUUCUAAUCUCUGAAUAAGAUCAAAAGUAUUUUUUAAAUUUCCUUAUCUUCCUAUUGUUUCAUAAUUUCCAUUUCUUUGCUGAGGUUCCACAUCUCUUCAUUCAUUGUUAGAAUAUUUUCCUUUACCCUCAAGAACAGAUUUAUAAUAGCUGCCUUUAAACAUCUUGAAUUACAACACCUUGAAUAUCUUAGGAUCACUUCUACUAUCUUCUAGUUAAAUUAUGUAUGGAUCCCAUUUUCAUGUUUCUUCACACAUCUCAUGAAUUUUAAAGUUGUGUACUAAAACUGUAAGGAAUUAUAAAGAUGAUCAAUUCUGUUGUGUAACUUUGAAGAGCAGUGUUAUGUUUUAUAAAAGAUGUUAAUUGGGCUGGAUUCAAACAUCAAUACCUAUCUCCCCUAUAGUGGGCAUAGCUGAAAUCCUCAUUCAGUUCUUACUCACACAUAGGUCAUAUUUGUAUUAUAUAGAUGUGUUUCUAUAACAAUAUAUAUUAUUCAGAUGUCAUCAUUAUAAUCUGUGUUAAUUCAACAAGCUACUCCAGUAUUACUGAAAGCCAGGACCUCAGUUUUGUCUGCUUAUUGGAUUUUGUAUAAAUCACAUUAUACAGUA